GUUCUCUCAUCUCGUUGCACUUUUCAUCGCUGUUUGCGUCUCUGGUGGCUCUCCGUUUCACAUAUAUGACACUCAAGGUUUGGAUAGUGUUUUCUUUCGUGUAUGUUUUGUGGGCUUGAAAGAUUAUUUCUUGUCUCAAACUUGAGCUCUGAUUUCUCUGUGGUUGGUUUGCAUUCUCCCUCCUUUAUGUAGCUUUUCUUCUUCUCCUACUUCAUUUGUUAUAGGUGUGUGGAGUUAGUCUCUUAGUGUUUUGGUCUCUUCUAUUCAGAGCUUUGUGGUUCUUUAUUGGCAUGAGCUCCUUGUAUGUGGUUGUUUUGUUUGUGAGGUGCUUCAUACCUUUUUAUCUGGUGGUUGUGUAUUAUGCAUGUGUUUUCAUGCUUGUGGUGACAUUGGUCCGGUGAUUAUUCUUUCUGUGAUCUUUUUUUGGUGUUUUGGAUUGGUGCUUGAUCGCGUUCAUUUGUGUUCCAAACCUUUAUUGAGUAAGUGUUACUAUAGUAUUCUAUUUUUUUUUUUGUGAUUGUGGAGAUUUAAGUUUAGAUUAUGUGUCUUACUCUAGUUUUUUUAUAGUUUAGUUAUUUUAUGAUUUUUAAUAGUAAAAUAAAUUAUAAUUUGUAAAUAAAAUAAUAGAAAAUAGUAAAAAAUAAUAAAAUAGUAAAAAUUUAUGUUAUUUUUAGUUGUGAAUAAAUAAAAUAUUUAAAAUCUAUUUUUAUUUUUUCUUUAUUCAUCUCUAAUUUUAUUGACUAAUAAAAUAUAUUAUAAAAC
rnacentral:lncRNA from 1 species